GCUUGCUUUCUUUGCUGGCGACCGGCGCACGGGUGAGUAACACGUAUCCAACCUACCCUUUACUCGGGGAUAGCCUUUCGAAAGAAAGAUUAAUACCCGAUAGCAUAAUGAUUCCGCAUGGUUUCAUUAUUAAAGGAUUCCGGUAAAGGAUGGGGAUGCGUUCCAUUAGGUUGUUGGCGGGGUAACGGCCCACCAAGCCUUCGAUGGAUAGGGGUUCUGAGAGGAAGGUCCCCCACAUUGGAACUGAGACACGGUCCAAACUCCUACGAGGCAGCAUG
rnacentral:rRNA from 1 species